rnacentral:rRNA from 1 species
ACGAACGCUGGCGGCGUGCUUAACCCAUGCCAGUCGAACGGAAAGGCCCUGCUUUUGUGGGGUGCUCGAGUGGCGAACGGGUGAGUAACACGUGGGUAACCUGCCCUUGACUUUGGGAUAACUUCAGGAAACUGGGGCUAAUACCGGAUAGGAGCUCCUGCUGCAUGGUGGGGGUUGGAAAGUUUCGGCGGUUGGGGAUGGACUCGCGGCUUAUCAGCUUGUUGGUGGGGUAGUGGCUUACCAAGGCUUUGACGGGUAGCCGGCCUGAGAGGGUGACCGGCCACAUUGGGACUGAGAUACGGCCCAGACUCCUACGGGAGGCAGCAGUGGGGAAUAUUGCACAAUGGGCGGAAGCCUGAUGCAGCAACGCCGCGUGCGGGAUGACGGCCUUCGGGUUGUAAACCGCUUUCGCCUGUGACGAAGCGUGAGUGACGGUAAUGGGUAAAGAAGCACCGGCUAACUACGUG